AAUGAUAUUGGGAGUAAAUUAAAUGUUAAUGGUACUAUUUUUGACAAUAUAUUAUCAAAAUUAUCAGUGACUGUUAAUGAUAUUGGGAGUGAAUUAAAUGAUAAUUACUAUCAUCUUCCUAUCGCCUGUGUGGUCAUGUGGCCACUACCUGUAUUUUAUCAUCAUCAAAAAAAGACAAUAUCAUUGUGAUCACUGGUGAUCAAAGAACUUGACAAACUGAGGUUAGGAGGAUGAAAUAUAACUAACACCAUUAUACUUCACUCCAAGGAGGAUGAAAUAACUAACACCAUUAUACUUCACUCCAAGGAGGAUGAAAUAACUAACACCAUUAUACUUCACUCCAAGGAGGAUGAAAUAACUAACACCAUUAUACUUCACUCCAAGGAGGAUGAAAUAACUAACACCAUUAUACUUCACUCCAAGGAGGAUGAAAUAACUAACACCAUUAUACUUCACUCCAAGGAGGAUGAAAUAACUAACACCAUUAUACUUCACUCCAAGGAGGAUGAAAUAACUAACACCAUUAUACUUCACUCCAAGGAGGAUGAAAUAUAACUAACACCAUUAUACUUCAAUCCAAGGAGGAUGAAAUAACUAACACCAUUAUACUUCAAUCCAAGGAGGAUGAAAUAACUAACACCAUUAUACUUCACUCCAAGGAGGAUGAAAUAACUAACACCAUUAUACUUCACUCCAAGGAGGAUGAAAUAACUAACACCAUUAUACUUCACUCCUAGGAGGAUGAAAUAACUAACACCAUUAUACUUCACUCCAAGGAGGAUGAAAUAUAACUAACACCAUUAUACUUCACUCCAAGGAGGAUGAAAUAACUAACACCAUUAUACUUCACUCCAAGGAGGACGAAAUAUAACUAACACCAUUAUACUUCACUCCAAGGAGGAUGAAAUAACUAACACCAUUAUACUUCACUCCAAGGAGGAUGAAAUAACUAACACCAUCAUACUUCACUCCAAGGAGGACGAAAUAUAACUAACACCAUUAUACUUCACUCCAAGGAGGAUGAAAUAACUAACACCAUUAUACUUCACUCCAAGGAGGAUGAAAUAACUAACACCAUUAUACUUCACUCCAAGGAGGAUGAAAUAACUAACACCAUCAUACUUCACUCCAAGGAGGACGAAAUAUAACUAACACCAUUAUACUUCACUCCAUGUUGAGCAAAUGUUGUAUUGAUCAUAUAGGGCUAUAACACUGCUAAAACAUUCGUCCUUUAUUGGUGAAAAUGAACCUUAUUUCCAUGAAUGAUAUGAUAGGUGUUAAUCACAUUAUGAUGUAUGUUAAUGACUGUGGUUGUUAUCGGUUAUAUUAAAGUGUAUUGUAUGCUGUAAGUCUGUGUAAUCAACAGAGGGACUUACCUAUUUUGUAUAUAUGAUAUUAUUAACACUGAUAAUCUAUUUUGUAUGAGUGUGGCAUUAACAACACGUGUAUCAAACUAUAAAUGCUGGGCGUGUAUUCUUGGAAUGCCAGGGGUGUGUCCAUUGUUUUAUUGUAUGUUGUGCAAGUUCACAUCUGUAUUAUCAUGAAAUCUUCAAUUUCUAAGUCAGAUAAUUUACCCAAUAUUUCUACUGCUUACAUUGUUGUGAAGCUGGUUAUUUACAAGUCCCUGUGUAUCAGUGUAGUGAAUUAUAGUUUGAUGUUUGUACGCCAAAACUUUUGACUUUUACAUGUAUUGCCAUUAAAGCAAUCAUUGAAACUUG